rnacentral:miRNA from 1 species
GGAGCUCCAUCCUGUCUUUGGUUAUCUAGCUGUAUGAGUGUUACUCCUCCGUCAUAAAGCUAGAUAACCGAAAGUAGGAAGGAUCUCC